AGAGGCCUAGAGGCUCUCACUAUGGCAUGGACCCUCAUCCUCGAGCCCCACUACUCAGAGGAGCUGGGAAGAAUUUCCACCCUUCCUAGUGGCAAGUCUCACUGUGAGAGCGGAGUGCCACCAGGCAAACAGGGCAGAAAGACUGCUUUAAGGAGAAUCCUUAUAUUGGGGGUUAUGAAGUGCAAUACACCCUCAUCCUCACGCUAACACUGGUACCAUGUAGCCCAAGCUUGUCUAACCUGCAGCCCGCGGGCUGUGUAUGGCCCAGGACAGCUCUGAAUGUGGCCCAACGCAAAUUUGUAAACUUUCUAAAACAUUAUGAGAUUUUUUUUUCUCAUCAGCUAUCAUCAGUGUGAGUGUAUGUUAUUUGUGACUCAAGACAAUCCUUCUUUUCCAAUGUGGCCCAGAGAAGCCAAAAGACUGGACACCCCUGAUGUGGCCCUUUCAUCCAUAGUAGCCUAUUUUGUCCUAAAGACGGUCUUGUGCAGUGAGUAGGCCAGGCCUCCCCACUACCACAGUUUACAGGCAAGGAAUGUGAUAUUUCAUAGGAUGACCCUGACUGGCACCUACAUUGCUAGCCAAAGAAUGGCACAAAGAUGUGGACAGAAGAGACAACCUUAAGCAGCUGACUGCUGGCUCCUGCAACAGUAUCAUCAUGGCAUUUGUCCUGGGGUCCCAAGGAAAGAAAACAAAUCUGUGGCUGAGGAACAGACUGAGUUGACAAAGCAGCUUCCACAGUAACACAAGGACAAAGGGUGUAUGUAGAUAUGCACGUGGUAGCAGGUUCUACUAAAGGAACCUGGACCGACCAUUCUGACGGCAGGAGCCAUGGCGCUGUGAACUCAAACUUCAGGGAGCUUCAGACCCUCCUGCUUGUGACCAUACCCAUGCCUGGGCUCUUGACUAUUUAAAUGUGUUUUGAAAACAACUCUCAUUAUAGAAAUGAAAAGCCUGAAGCUUUCUCAGCAAAAAAGGUUUAACUGAUGAUACUCUACAAAGAAUAAAUACAUCAAUCUAAUUGAACCAACCAAA
ensembl:lncRNA LINC01890 long intergenic non-protein coding RNA 1890